rnacentral:rRNA from 1 species
AAUGGGUCAGCGACUUAUAUUCUGUAGCAAGGUUAACCGAAUAGGGGAGCCGGAGGGAAACCGAGUCUUAAUUGGGCGUUAAGUUGCAGGGUAUAGACCCGAAACCCGGUGAUCUAGCCAUGGGCAGGUUGAAGGUUGGGUAACACUAACUGGAGGACCGAACCGACUAAUGUUGAAAAAUUAGCGGAUGACCUGUGGCUGGGGGUGAAAGGCCAAUCAAACCGGGAGAUAGCUGGUUCUCCCCGAAAGCUAUUUAGGUAGCGCCUCGUGAAUUCAUCUCCGGGGGUAGA